rnacentral:sRNA from 1 species
CGAUUGCACUAAACGUGCCGGUGAGACGCUGCGUUUAGGUUCGAGCCGAGCGAAGCGAGACCGCGUUGCGCUUGUCGCAACGACCCGAAGGGUGAGGCCAAAGGCCAAAUCAUCCUGCACGACCCACCC